ACGCUCGACACCUACGGGAGGCAGCAGUGAGGAAUAUUGGUCAAUGGGCGCAGGCCUGAACCAGCCAAGUAGCGUGAAGGAUGACUGCCCUAUGGGUUGUAAACUUCUUUUAUAUGGGAAUAAAGUUUUCCACGUGUGGAAUUUUGUAUGUACCAUAUGAAUAAGGAUCGGCUAACUCCGUGACAGCAGCCGCGGUAAUCUGAGCGGGCUGGCAAGGC
rnacentral:rRNA from 1 species